rnacentral:rRNA from 1 species
GACGAACGCUGGCGGCGUGCUUAACACAUGCAAGUCGAACGGAAAGGCCCUGCUUUUGUGGGGUGCUCGAGUGACGAACGGGUGAGUAACACGUGAGUAACCUGCCCUUGACUUUGGGAUAACUUCAGGAAACUGGGGCUAAUACCGGAUAGGAGCUCCUGCUGCAUGGUGGGGGUUGGAAAGUUUCGGCGGUUGGGGAUGGACUCGCGGCUUAUCAGCUUGUUGGUGGGGUAGUGGCUUACCAAGGCUUUGACGGGUAGCCGGCCUGAGAGGGUGACCGGCCACAUUGGGACUGAGAUACGGCCCAGACUCCUACGGGAGGCAGCAGUGGGGAAUAUUGCACAAUGGGCGGAAGCCUGAUGCAGCAACGCCGCGUGCGGGAUGACGGCCUUCGGGUUGUAAACCGCUUUCGCCUGUGACGAAGCGUGAGUGACGGUAAUGGGUAAAGAAGCACCGGCUAACUACGUGCCAGCAGCCGCGGUGAUACGUAGGGUGCGAGCGUUGUCCGGAUUUAUUGGGCGUAAAGGGCUCGUAGGUGGUUGAUCGCGUCGGAAGUGUAAUCUUGGGGCUUAACCCUGAGCGUGCUUUCGAUACGGGUUGACUUGAGGAAGGUAGGGGAGAAUGGAAUUCCUGGUGGAGCGGUGGAAUGCGCAGAUAUCAGGAGGAACACCAGUGGCGAAGGCGGUUCUCUGGGCCUUUCCUGACGCUGAGGAGCGAAAGCGUGGGGAGCGAACAGGCUUAGAUACCCUGGUAGUCCACGCUGUAAACGGUGGGUACUAGGUGUGGGGUCCAUUCCACGGGUUCCGUGCCGUAGCUAACGCUUUAAGUACCCCGCCUGGGGAGUACGGCCGCAAGGCUAAAACUCAAAGGAAUUGACGGGGCCCCGCACAAGCGGCGGAGCAUGCGGAUUAAUUCGAUGCAACGCGUAGAACCUUACCUGGGUUUGACAUGGAUCGGGAGCGCUCAGAGAUGGGUGUGCCUCUUUUGGGGUCGGUUCACAGGUGGUGCAUGGCUGUCGUCAGCUCGUGUCGUGAGAUGUUGGGUUAAGUCCCGCAACGAGCGCAACCCUUGUUCACUGUUGCCAGCACGUUAUGGUGGGGACUCAGUGGAGACCGCCGGGGUCAACUCGGAGGAAGGUGGGGAUGACGUCAGGUCAUCAUGCCCCUUAUGUCCAGGGCUUCACGCAUGCUACAAUGGCUGGUACAGAGAGUGGCGAGCCUGUGAGGGUGAGCGAAUCUCGGAAAGCCGGUCUCAGUUCGGAUUGGGGUCUGCAACUCGACCUCAUGAAGUCGGAGUCGCUAGUAAUCGCAGAUCAGCAACGCUGCGGUGAAUACGUUCCCGGGGCU